rnacentral:rRNA from 1 species
CCUUUAGCAAUAUUAAUAUUAAAGGUCCUGCCUGCCCAGUGAAAUUUGUUUAAACGGCCGCGGUAUUCUAACCGUGCAAAGGUAGCGUAAUCACUUGUCUUCUAAAUAAAGACCAGUAUGAAUGGCUAAAUGAGGACAAGCCUGUCUCCUACACCCCAUCAGUGAAACUGAUCUUUCAGUCCAAAAGCUGAGAUAUCAACACAAGACGAGAAGACCCUGUGGAGCUUUAAACCUACUACUAACAAACUUAAUUAAGGAAACUAGUAUAAGUUUUAAGUUGGGGCGACUUCGGAACAAAACAAGACUUCCGAGCACAGAACCACCGUUUCUAACUAAGGCUGACAAGCCAAGUCACAAGUUGACCCAGUCACACUGAACAACGAACCAAGUUACCCCAGGGAUAACAGCGCUAUCUUCUUCAAGAGUCCCUAUCGACAAGAAGGUUUACGACCUCGAUGUUGGAUCAGGACACCCAAAUGGUGCAGCCGCUAUUAAAGGUUCGUUUGUUCAACGAUUAACAGUCCUACGUGAUCUGA